UUUAGUACAGGAGACUGUUGUGUGCCUGUUUAGGAGGUGUUUAGACCAUGUGAUCUGCUCCACAAAACAGAGCACUUACAAAUAUAUUUUUUAAAAAAAUGGAAGUGUGGCACUUUAUAUCCAUAAAUAACACCAAUAUUAUGACAUAUUCAGCUCUUCAUAUUUUUGAGUACUAGCUCACUUCUUACUAGAAGGACAAAUGGGUCUCCAUCACUCCAUGCACAAAAGAAGCUGACUUUACUGUUUUGGUAUGCAGCAGUAAUACACUAACAGUCCGUAAUUGGCUUUGUCCUCGUUCCUGGGACAACUUUCUACAGCAGUUUUCUGUCGUCCUCUAAGUGCAACACCCAGAACUACUUGAAUCAGAUAUCGAGCUGAAACAAUGAUUAAAGGAUAGAAUCGCUGCCAGUGAAAUCUGUAAUUUAGGAGUCAACAAACGGUCACAUGUGCUGAGUCCUACAUACCUCCAAACUUUUGUUUGCGGACAUGAACAAAGGAUUUUUCACAAAAGCGGUGAUUGUCAAAUGCAAAUGAAGCGCUUAGAGAUGCGACAGGUUGUUAAAAAAAGUGAACUUAUCCUUUCAGUGUUGCAAAAGUACCAAACGUUGAUCUGCACCAGCAUCAGGCCGGCAAUAUUAAGUACAGUGAUCAUCUCAGCCGUGUUCAGUGAACCUCAGAGGACUCACGUGUGGAGCCGCUUGUUUCCAUUUGGUGGCGAUUGUUAAAAUCCUGAUCAAAACAGUAUGCAAACACAUCUACAUUCUGAAUGAACUUUGAUUUUCUACAUCUUCUCAAUGUUAAAUGAAAAAGUUCAUCUUCUGGGUGUUUUUUUUCCCCUCCUUUUUGCAAAUAAAAUUAGUUUUGUUA